rnacentral:lncRNA from 1 species
CCAGCCCCUAUGGUCAACAAAAACACGGCGUUUAUGGAGUAGGCAGUGAACUUUUGUUUCACCAACAGGAAAGCAAACCCCGCCGUGAAAGCCAACUGCGACGCGAUGAUCAAAGAAGAAGUCGAAACGGGGAGACGAGAUAAGCCAUAGGAGUAGAGGUAGUUAUCGAGGCCACUGAGGAUCCCGAGGACGAUAGCGGCAACGAACAACGGUCGUUCCAUACAGAAAAGCUUGUUUUCCGAGGUGGGAUUGGCCGUCCUGGAACGAUGCACGUAAGCACGAGCGAUGGGGAGCAAGAUGAUGGGGCAACCCGCGGUCUGGAGCCAGCUCGAGAACCAGAUUCGGUUCCCACCAUGGAUGAAGUAGAGACGGGCGAUAAGUGGAUCACCGCAGUUGCCUAUAGAAAGGAUGAUGCAGUUUAUUAUUAAGAGAGCUUUUCUUAUGGUGCCACCAUCCUUCACGUCCAUGAUUAAAUUCUCUGUUUUGUAUUUGGAUAUUUUUGCAUCUCCUUCUCUGUUUCCAAGGUGUUUGUAGAAUGGAAGAAAGCCGAAGUAAGGAUAAGACAACCAUAUAGGUGCUAUUAUUGAACUCGUUAUAUUAAAUUCCAUAAUUUACGUGCAUUUCGAAGCAACUAUAAGUAUUGUAAUCUAUGAUAUAAUGUUGAAACAUGGGACCGAUACCUCAUUUGAUUUUUUUUUAAAAACUAUUUUCGUGCAAAAAGGGGUUUUAUGACUUGUAGUUCAAAGAAAAAAUUCAUUCUGAAUCAAUUCGAUUCAUCCAGUGUUUAUCAAAGCGGGUCCAGUUUUUUUAAACCAGAGAAUUUUAUUGUUGAUGCAACGUCUAACAAACAUUCCAUAACUGUUGGUCUUCAUCAGCUCUCAAUAACAGCCAUGAAAUAUUGCGGUCGGGAUACUAAUAACUGCAUUUGCAUUAUCCACUCAACUCAGCAAAUUCAUUUCGUUUCAAUCUUGAAAUAUUUUAACACUACUUAGGCACUGAAUAUACAGUUAAACACUAACUAUUUUAUGCUGCAAUUGUUCAAAACAUUAUAUUACAUGGUAGCAUUAAAGAGGUUCUUUUUGUGUAUAUUGAAGUCAUCUUUUAACUAAUUUUUUGUCUAGUCUUAGUAUUGUAUCUAAGUACCAUCUAUAAAUACCUUCACUUGCCACUAAGAUGAGUGUCCAUUAUUGCAAUUUAAAAAUUUUAAAAAUUUAACAAAAUUCAAAUGAGAUAAAAACAGAGGUGUUAUGGGACAAAGUUCGGUGCGGUUUAAAAAAAUUUCAAGUCCACCCAAAAGCCUAUUUUACUAUUUUAAAAAUAAUAAAAUAUUAAAAAUAUAUAUUAUAUAUAUUUCUAUAAUUAAAUUUAAAUUUAAAUUUUUUAUUAUUUAAAUUAAAAUUGAGUCAAGGUGUCCCAACCCAACCAUUAAACAAGUCUAAAUAUAAUUAAUUCGAAUAACUAUAAAAUAUAAUCAAAAUUAAUUUAAAUACUAAAACUACUUCUUUAAAAUACUAUCAACUCUAAAUUAAGAUUUCUGCCAGUCCCUAACAAAAGACAAAGAAAAACAACAUAGUAGUUUAAACAACUCUAAAUUAGAUCUACUUGAUAUUCUCAAAAAUUCCCUCAAUAUUUUCAAUACAAAGUUAUUCACUAAAAUCAAUGCCCAGUUAAAAAAUUAUAAAACGGUGACUUAAUUAAUUGCAUUUGCCUUUUUUAGUCCAAUUUCAUUCUUUAUUGUGUUAACUUUGUGACAUAAAGUUUUAAAAUAAUAUAAUAUCAAAUUUACAAAUUGUAUCAAUUUGAUCUUGGUCCCAAACAUUUAUACAUUGUUUCAAUUUGAUCUCGAUUCUAAAAAAAUUAAGAAUGAUAAUUUAUUAUAAAUUAAAAAAUGCAUAAAAGUUUUUAAAAUAUAAUAUAAUAUAUAUAAAUACAUAAAAAUUAUAAGAAAAUAAAAAAAAAUCAAAAUACAAAUAAAACUUAAAUAAAUAAUUCAAAAGAACAUAUUAAAAAUUGAUAGGUGAUGAUGAUGAAGUUUAAGAAUCUGAUCCACAAAGUUGAAUUUUCUUUUUAUUACAAAAUAUCACUGAUUUAAGUUUACCAACAAAUGACCUAAGCUAAAUACUAGAAUAUAAAUAUCAACCUCCGCUUCAUGCGGAUGACCCUUGGUCCCAUUAAAAUAUUUCUUACGUUGACCGAUUAUUUAACUGUGAGUCUUCAGCACCUGUCUUUUUUAAUAUUACAUAUAUUGAUUAAAAAAUGAAUUUGAAAAUAUUUCUUAUAAAAUUCAAAAUAAUACAUAAAAGAUGGUAAAUGUUUUAAAAAUGAAAAAAGUAAAUAAAUUUAACCUUUUUCUUUGUAUGGGGUUGGCGUUGACUCUUGUUGUCUCCUCCGGCCAGCAGUCGUGGAUCCACCAGCUCGCCCCGAAUUACGUGGUGGGUGACAUUUUUGGGAAGAACUGCACCUCAUCCAAUCCCUCAAUAGGUAAUAGUUCUGGGACUAGAAUCCUAAUUUGUUUUUGAGGGUUUAGUUAGGCCUGCUUUGGAAGAGGGAAAGAGUAACAAUGAAUCUAAUAAAAAGUUUCGAUUUCACCACUUUUCUGGGUUUCUUUUUUCUUUUCGAGAGGGAAAAGUACAAGUGAAAUGAAACUAUUUAUUAAAUGUUUUUGAAAAUUUCAAUGUUUUCUUAAUUUGUUUUAUAUUUUUUCUGGUUAUUUUAAUUGGGAUAAAAUUGAGAUUUUUUUAGAAUCAUCAACAAACUAAAAAUAUUGAAACUCCCACAACAUCUCAUGUUGCAAAGUUCAUGGUAAGUAACAGAGUUAGACCCAAAAAACAAAAAGUCAGUUUAUAAUUUUUUUAAUGGGUGGGUGACCUACCCAGUAGAUUCACGAAGCAUAUUUUAUUCAUAAAAAAAAGUUAUAUCAUGAUUUAUCAUUAAAUUAUAUUCGUCUUCUUAUUAUUUCGAUAACUAAAUUAUCUUUUUCUUAUAGUCGUUUUUUAAAAUUUUAGAUUUUCUUUUCUUUUCUUUUUUUAAUAAUUAAAGAUUAAUAUGAGAAUCGCCUCAAUAUGCCUGUAAAUUCCAAAAUGGAGAAUUUAGAAUGUAAUGAAUAGUCAUGAGAAGGACACCAUGGCAAAGGCCAUUUUCUUAUCCAACUAUGCUAUCCUAUAAACAACUAAUUGUGGGGAUUACGAUGACAACGAAAUUCUUCUUACUUCUUUCCCCUCUCUAAUAUUUUCUUAAUUUUUUUUUCUUAAUUUUACAUCUUAAGUGCCAAUCACUUUUUAUUUUGCUACUUAAAAUGUGCUUCUAUUAUAUUUUUAAUUUAUUUUAUGAUAGACGUUAAAAUUUUUUUAUAAUCAAUCAUAAAGUCAUGUGACAUCUUUAUAUAAAAAAUAAAUAUCUUUUAUUAAAUGUAUAUAAACAUUAAAAUAUAUAAAAAUGGAAAUUAAUAUAUAAAAAUAGAAAUAUAUAUAAUCUGAAAAAAAUAUAAUUUAUAAAAAAUAUAAAAUUUACAAAAAAAAUACGAUAAAUAAAAAUAAAUUAGUUGAAAUUAAUGAUAUUAUUAUAAAAAAUUAUAAUUUUUUUAAUUUUUUAUAUAAUUAUAAAAUUCUAAAAUUGUAUUUCAGUUUCAAGGGUUUUUUUUUAAUUACUUGAAAUUUAAAUACAUCUUUCAUUUAUAUAACAUUUAUCAACUUUUAUAUAUUAUUUUGAAUUUUAAAUAUGUAUACUUUUAUAUUUUAGAAUUUUAUAAAAAAAAUAUUUUUAAACUUUUAUUUUAAUUUUUUAUAUAUUAUAUAUGACAUAUAAUGCACUAAAAUAUAUUAUGUGUAAAUAUUUUAUAUAUAAAAAUAUUAGUUAAUAAAAUAUAUAUUUUUAAUUUAAAUAUAAUAAAACCGCACAUUUCUAAAUAAGUAUUACUUUUACACCAUUAUCUAUAAUAUAUACAAAAGCAUGAGUUUAGAAAAACUUUUGAAUUGAGGAGAAUAUCAGUUAUUUUCUAUAAUAUUAAUAAAUUAACUUUAAAAAUAAUUAUAUCUUAAUUUAGAAUUAUUAGUUAAAAGGUUGUGCUAAUUUUAAAAUAGAGUUAUUACUUGAAUAGGGCACUAAGCAUAACACAAUAAAAAUUUUGUGAUAAUUAUAAUUAUAAUUUAUUUUAAUCUACAAUUAUUAGUUACAAAAUUUUGACAGUAGAAAAAUUGUAUUAAUAUUUUUUUUUUAAAAAUUGUGCUAAUUUUAUUAUUGUAAAUAGAAUUAUUACCAAUUAAAGUUUAUAUUUAGCUUUAUAAUAACAUUCAGCAUAUUCAAUCAAAAUAUGGUGAUUUUUUUCUUUAAAGAGUUUGAUGUUGUUUUGAAUGGGCUUGGUAACUUAAAUGCAAGGCGCCAUGUAAACCAUCUUUACUUGGUGGAUGAUAUCCCAUUGGUUGAAAGUGGGAGCACAAGGUUUUGGUUUUAACUAGGUUUUCUGUCUAGGUUGCUCAUAUUCAUGCUUCAUCUUGUUUUUCUUUAUGCGAUAUAAAUUCACACAAUUUGCUUUGAUAUUCGUACUAUAUAAACUAUAAUCUUGAGUUGGACUAUUUUAUGCAAGCAAAUAGUUCCCACAACUCAAUCCUAAAGCAGAUGACCUAUGAGUAGCAUCGUAGUUUCUGUUUGUACAUUUUUUUUUUAUGAAACUAGCUAUGAACUGAAUCCCCAUAAAAGAACUAAUAGCCAACCAAACUUAGCACUUGGAAUUUGUUAGGGAUGACUAUGAUCACCAACCCUUAAACACUGCUUUUGAGAGUAUUGGGAAGCAGAGAAGAGGCCAUCUCGGUUUCAGGAUCUGGUUUCUUCUUUUUACUUUGCUUGAUUUCACCAUAAAAGUAGGAAAUGAAGCCCCACAGCGAGAGAGCAAGUGACACACCCUUCUCGGCUUGAAACUUCUCAUUGAAGAAAAAUACUGCCAGAAUCUCUGUAACUGGUAAUAGAACCGCAAUCACUACAGCCGAUAGCAAUGAUGACGCACAAAACACUACUCCAAUUGCUCCCAAGAAGAAACAUUGAUUUAUUAUUGCACUAAAAACCACAACCACAUGGUAUUUUGUUUCUCCUAGCUCGAAUUCCCUUGCUUCCCUUCCGAUCACCUGCAAAUAAAAAUAACCUUUCAAGUUUUUACGCACUUGUUCAUUGUAGUUAUAGAAUGAAAUCAUUAUAUUAAAUAAAACCUCUUUAAUCAAGAUUAAUAAACUCGGCUUCAGUUUCCUUCUAAAAAAAGGGUUUAUUAUCAUAGCUAGUUGUUGAUACUUUAUUAUUUCAUACCCUAUAGGUCAAUUAUGUGGAUUUCAUCAAUUAACAAAUUUAAUUAAUUAUUAAACUUUUAAAUUAUAUUUAUUUUUAAACGUUGUGAUUUUCUUUUUCUAUUAAAUUUUGAAAAAAGAAUCAAACUAUAAUGUUAUAAUCAAAAUAUAAAAUAGUUAAAAAAUUAAAAAAAAAAACUAUUUCAUCAGACUUCACUCAUUUGUCCUGUAAGAAGAGGAAUAGCUAAGAAAGAGACGAAAAAACAAACCUUGAAAUCAUUGUUGACCAGCAUCCCAACGGUGCAAAAGCCAGUAGCAACCAAACACAUCACCAACUGAAUCUCCAUCACAAGGGCGUAGCUGAUCUCUUGCUUUGCCUUCUUGUACUUAGUUCCACCAAUGGCAAUAUAAAUCCGUACAAAGCCGCUGCAGCUAAGGUCAUUACGAACCCCAAAAUAUAUUCCUUGUUGGAUUCAUUCGCAGGCCGGUCGCUGCUCGAAUGCAAAGCCAGAACGCCAGCCCCUAUGGUCAACAAAAACACGGCGUUUUUACGGAGUAGGCAGUGAACUUUUGUUUCACCAACAGGAAAGCAAACCCCGCCGUGAAAGCCAACUGCGACGCGAUGAUCAAAGAAGAAGUCGAAACGGGGAGACGAGAUAAGCCAUAGGAGUAGAGGUAGUUAUCGAGGCCACUGAGGAUCCCGAGGACGAUAGCGGCAACGAACAACGGUCGUUCCAUACAGAAAAGCUUGUUUUCCGAGGUGGGAUUGGCCGUCCUGGAACGAUGCACGUAAGCACAAGUAAUGGGGAGCAAGAUGAUGGGGCAACCCGCGGUCUGGAGCCAGCUCGAGAACCAGAUUCGGUUGCCACCAUGGAUGAAGUAGAGGCGCAUGAUAAUUGGACUACCGCAGUUGCCUAUUGAAAGCAUGAUGCAGUUUAUUACUAGGAGAGCUUUUCUCAUGGUGGUGCCAUCAUGUUUAGGUUCCUUCACCUCCAUCUGUUCUGUAUUUGGAUUUUUUGCAUCUCCUUCCUCCAUUUCCAAGCUAUUUGUAACAGAAUUUAUCAAAGAAACAGAGGUCAAUUACAUGUACGGAAAAAGCUAGAGUUAGCAGAAUUUAGCAUGUAAUGAAUAGUUAUUACAUGGAGACUAUGGCAAAGGCCAUUUUCUUAUCCAUGUAUCCAUGAAAUGAAUUCCUAUAAACAACUAAUAGCCAACCAAAUUGCCAUGAACAACUGUUGGGGAUUAGGGAUUACGAUGAAAACGCAAUUCUACUAUGCCUCUUUUUUUGUCUACCAAUUCGUGAUUUCGCUUUUGGAGAAUAUUUAUUUUUUCAUUUUGGUAUUGAUUUUUUUUAAAUUUUAUAUCUAAAUUCUAAUCACUCUUUAAUUUGGUACCUAAAGUAAUCUUAUGACCAAUCACAAAGUGACAUGUGACGUCUUUAUGUAAAAAAACAAAUUUUUUUAUUAAAUGUAUACAAUUAUUAGAAAAUAUAAAAAUAGAAAUAAAUAUAUAAAAAAUCAGAAAUAUAUAAUCUAAAAAACAUAUAAUUUAUAAAUAAUUUAUAAAUAAUAAAAUUUACAAAAAAAUACUAUAAUUGAAAAAAAAAAGUUGAAAUUAAUGAUACUAUUACAAAAAAUGUAAAAGAAAUUAUAAAUUUUUAAUUUUUUUAUAUAAUUACAAAAUUGUAUUUCAAUUUCAAGGUUUUUUUUUGCAAUUACUUGAAAUUUAAAUACCUUUUUCAUUUUUAUAACAUUUUUCAAUUUUUUUAUAUAUUAUUUUGACUUUUAAAUAUUUAUAAGUUUAUAUUUUAGAAUUUUAUAAAAAAUAUUUUAAAACUUUUAUUUUAAAUUUUUUUAUAUAUCAUAUAUGAUUUUUUUACAUUUUUAUCAAUAUAAUACAUAAUAUUAAAAAAAUAAAAAAAAGGACAUGUAGUAUUCUAAUAGUGCCACAUAGCCGGUCAACACUAGUCAACUCCAAUCAACAAUCGAUUAAAGUCAAUUGAUUUUUGGUUGACCAAAUGUUGACCGGUGUUGACUAGCAUGGAUCGGGCUUUGACCAGUCAUGUGGCACUAUUAGAAUACAACAUGUGUCCUUUUUUUAAAUUUUUUAAUAUUAUAUAUUAUAUGGAUUAAAAUGUAAAAAAUCAUAUAAUAUAUAUAAUUAAAAAAGGUAUUUAAAUUUCAAGUAAUUGUAAAAAAAACUUGAAAUUUAAAUAUUUUUUAGAAUUUUAGAAUUAUAUAUUUUAAAAUUUUAUAAAAAAAUUAUUUAAAGGCUACUUUGGCUACCGAAAUGGCCUAGAAAAAUCGUUUAAUUUCGUAAACUUUUACUUGUCUGAUUUUCUUUUAAAAAAACUUAGGAGUCAAAAACGUCCAAUUAUUAAGUCAAAUAAAUUUAUAGUCCAAUUUAUUAAAAGUCAUGUCAUUUGAAAAAUUCGUAUGAUAUUGUCAAUUAGCUUUUUAUUUUUGAAAAAAAAAAUCCUAUUUCAUUGUUGCGCAAUAAAAAAAGUGAAACAUUUAGUUUUAUACGAAAAAUCGUGUUUUAUGCCAUAUUAAGCCAGUUAUUAGGGUUAUUCGAUUUUUAACAAAAUUCCAUACAUGCAAAAUCUCAAUAAAAAACAAUCUCAUGCCACAAUCCAAAAUUAAUAAAAUUACAGUCCCAAUAAAAACCAUAAUAAAAAAAGUAGAAUUUAAAUUUACUUUAUCAAUUAAAAACCGAGAUGACACCUCUAAAUGUUGGGUCCGACCUUAACCUCGAGGGUUAUCUGUAAGGAUAAAGCUAUUAGGGUGAGCUUUAAAAAGCUCAGUUUGAAUCUUCACAGAAUAAAUAAUGUAUCUACAUGCAGACAGUCAAAUUACAAUAAAACAUAUAUCCAACAACAUUCCUGAGAUCAUAGUAGAGCACGACAUCAUAAAAAUACAAUUUUAUAUGUGUGGACAUGCUCAUAUGAAACAGUGCAAAAAUUUCUACCCAUUCAUCCGCUACACACCAUGAGUUCCCUAGAACUCAUCAUCCGAACACCAAAACAAUAAGAGUCGUAGCUCAAUGUGGAUAAAACACCAGUAAUAAUUUGUAGUUAAACUGCCAGUAAUUUUGCAGACAAGCUACCAGUAAGUUACGGAUAAACCGCCAAUACUUCGAACAAUACUCCAGGGUUGCAGAUUAAUUGCUAGUAUAAUAUUGCGGAUAAACAACCAGUACUCCACGGAAUUCCUCCGUCACCCAUCAAUCCUAAUCCCUAUGCAAUGCGACAUGUCAUAUGAAUAAUGUAGCAAAUCAUGCUCAUCAAUAUUAAUUUCAAUAACGGCGGCAUACUUAACAUGCAUUGAGUAAUACAGUAUCGGUGGCAUGCUUUACAUGCAAUCAAUAUGUACGUUAAUAUUCAGUGGCAUGCUUACAUGCAAUCAAUAUACGGUAAUAUUUAUUGGCAUGCUUACAUGCAAUCAAUAUACGAUAACAGUCAAUGACAUGCUUUACAUGCAGAUUAUUUGCUAGUAUAAUAUUGCAGAUAAACAACCAGUACUUCACGGAAUUCCUCCGUCACCCAUCAAUCCUAAUCUCGAUGCAAUGUGACAUGUCAUAUCAAUAAUGUAGCAAAUCAUGCUCAUCAAUAUCAAUUUCAAUAACGGUGGCAUGCUUAACAUGGAUUCAGUAUAUAAUACAGUAUCGGUGGCAUGCUUUACAUGCAAUCAAUAUGUAUGGUAAUAUUCAGUGGCAUGCUUACUAUAACAUCUCGUUUUUAGUGAAAUCAGAACAGUGGUUUUGGGAUCCCAAAUCCGAAGUCGUAAAAAUUAUUUUAAUAUUAUUUUAAUAUAUACAACAUGAUAAUAUGAUAGUAUAAAAAUUUCGUUAAGAAAUUUUACUAUUUGUAUGCUCAAUUUGUGAAAAAAAAAACUAAAUCGCGUAAAGUGCGAAAGUUAUGUUCUAAUAGCUAAAGGUGUUAAAUAGCUAUAGAACUUUAAAGUGGAGGUCCUUAUGUGGUAAUUAGACCAUUAGAUGAGUUAGUGGAUGUGCAUGGCUUGGUAUUUGAGUUACAUGAACUUACCUCGAUACUUGUUCGUAAACAAAAAUCUACUAAUCCCGAACUUUUUCUUUUCCUCGAUCUAGCUUCGUAUUUCAAUUUUCUGGAUCUAAAUAAAUAAAUUUAAUCAUUAAUCUAAUACAUUUCAUGUUCAUAUGUAACAUUCUCUAUAAUUCCAUUAUUAUUUAUAGUUCAUUCAAAGUUAUCUUAUUGAGUCAUAGUCACUAAAUUAUUUAUAUCUUGAGAUACGGAACUCCAAAUUAAGAUCCGCUAAUUUUCCCCAAAACUAGACUCACAUAACUUCUUACCAUAAAAUUUUUAGCAUUUUUGGUUUAGCCAAUAAGUACAGUUUAUUCUUUAAAGUUUCCCAUGUUUCACUAUUCGACAGUUCCGACCCCUCUUCACUAAAAAUUAAUUAUCUCAUUGUAAAGAAUUCAGAUGAUAUUCUUGUUUGUUUAUUUUGAAAAUAUACUCAUUAAGUAUUUUAAACAUAUAAAUUUAAGCCCCUAGUUAUUUUUCUCCAAUUUUUGAUAAUUUUCCAAAGUCAGAACAGGGGAACCCGAAUUCAUUCUGACCUUGUCUCACAAAAUCUAUUGUAUCUCAUAAUUUACAAUUCCAUUACUUACAUCGUUUCUUUUAUAAGAAACUAGACUCAAUAAGAUUUAAUUUAAUAUUUUAUUCAUCCUAUAAUUAGAUCUCUACAAUUUUUGGUGAUUUUUCAAAGUUAGACUACUGUUGUUGUCUAAAACUGUUUUAGUGCAUGAUGUUAAUUACCAUUUUUCCUUAAGCUUUCAAUAAAUGAUAAUUUCAUCCCUGCUCAAUUUACCUCUCAAUUGAGCUGGUUUUUUCACAACCAACACUUUAUUCUAUCACUUUAAACUACUUUAUAACCUUUGUAAAUCAUAAUUUUAGCACUAGACUUUAACUCCAAACCUUUUCACAAUUAGGUCCUGCAAAUCAAUUUCUAUUGAAAUUACCUAAUAAAAUCAUCUCAUAAACAAAUUAAAGCUUCAAUUUCAUGCCAUUUCAUCAUAAACUUCCAGCACAUAUUCAUAGCAACUUUCAAUUUUAUUCAUAAAAUCAAAAACUAAUGAAUUUAGUAAUAGGACCUAGUUGUAAAAGUCUUAGAAACACAAAAAUUACAAGAAAAAGGCAAGGAUUAACUCACUUGGUGCAAAAAUUAUCAAAAACCAGCUUGAAUAAACCCUUAGGACGUUUUUGGCUGAUGAGAAUGCAGAAAAAUAAAGAGAAUUCUAGAUAUUCCAAUUUGGUCCCAUUUUUAUGUUAGUAAAAUAUGUUAUUUUCCCAUUUUACCCUUAUUUCACCAAUUCUCCUGGUUUUUCUCAGCUUAUGCCGCCAAAAAUAUCUCCUUUUGGGCUUAUUUUCAAUUUAUGUCCCUCCUCAUUUAACAAUUGAGCUAUUUAAUCUUUUUAGUAACUUUUACCCAUUUUUCAAUUUAGUCCUUUUCACUUAAUUGACUACCCAAAUAUUAAAAUUUUCUAACGAAAUUUUAAUACCAUAUUACUAACACUUCAUAAAUAUUUAUAAAAAAAUUUCCGACUCGGUUUUAAGAGAUCGAGGUCUCGAUACCUUGUUUUUACCCAAUUUCUUUAAUAAUUUCUUUUUCUAACUAACCACUAAAUCGAUAAAAUUCUUCUAUCUAUAUUUUCAUACGAUUUUCCUAUCAUAUCAAUAUUCAUGCAAAAAUAUUAAAAUAAAUUUAUCUUUAAAUCGGAUUUGUGACUACGAAAUCACUGUUCCGAAAACCUUGAAUUUAGGCCAUUACAUAUUAAGUUUGACUAUUUUAUGCAAGCAAAUAGGUACUUAUUGAAGGAACUCAAUCCUAGAGCAAGUGACCUAAGAGUAGCAUCAUAGUUUUUGUUUGCACAAAGUUUGUUUCUCUUAAUAAAUUCUAUUGAAGGCUUCAUAAAAUAUUAUAGAAAAAUAGGUCCUAUGCUAAUUUUAACUAUGCAGCGAGGUACCUCUAAAAUAUGCUUGAAAAGUUUUUUGUUUUUACUUUCUUCCAUUGGUAGAAAAGCAUUAUUGUUUUCCUAACAACAAUGGUACUAGGGAGUGAUCGAAGACAACAAUGGUAUUAAUAAGUGAUCGAAGAUUAACUUUAAUAGAUGAUGAUACUACAAUAUUAUGAUAUUAUUUUUUAAAAUUUUCUAUAAAUUUAUAUUGUGUGAAGCAAAUACUCUUAAAAUCGUUUCCUUUCUUAUUUAUAUGUUAUUUAUUAUUAAAUUUUAACAAUUAUUUUUUAAUCACUUGUUUAUUAAUUUAAUUUAAAUAUUUUUCAUAUUUAUCAUGAAGUAUGUUGUUUCACCCUUUUUUUUAUUUUCAAAUUGACAUUAUAAUUUACUUUCUCAUAUAUUUAUAAAUUUGUAUAUUAUUUAUAAACUAAGAGAAAUUAUUAUUAUCAAUCGUAGCAAUAAAAGUUCAUUAAAAAUUAAACAUGUAAUAACAUUAGAAAUUAAUUGAUUAAAGACACAUAAAUUAUUUAUAAUUAUAAUCAACAUUAUCAUCUACACACCUUAAAUUAUUUAAAUUUAUUUAUUAACUAAUUUAUUAGAUUUAGUAUAACUGAUUUAUACAUUAAAUAAGCCCAUGUAUGGCCAGGCUAAUAUAUAUCAAUAGACACUAUGGCAUAGGGUAAGGUUAUUUUCUUAUGAAACUAGUUAUGAACUCAAUCCCCAUAAAAAAAAAAAAACAAACUAACUAAUAGCCAACCAAAGUUGGCACUUGAAAUUUGCUGGGGAUAACUAUAAUCACAACACUUAAACACUGCUUUCGAGAGUAUUGGGAGGCAGAGAAGAGGUUAUCUCAGUUUUAGGAUCUGGAUUCUUCCUUUUGCUUUGCUUGAUGUCACCAUAGAAGUAGGAAAGGAAGCUCCCCAACGAGAGAGCAAGUGACACACCCUUCUCGGCUUGAAACGUCUCAUUGAAGAAAAUUACUGCCAGAAGCUCUGUAACUGGUAAUAGAAACAAUACCACAAUUCCCGAUAGCAGUGAUGACGCACAAAAUACUACCAAGAAGAAACAUUACCGUAUUAUUGCACUAGAAAUCACAACCACGUAGUAUUUUGUUUCUCCCAACUCAAAUUCCCUUGCUUCCCUUCCAACCACCUGCAAAUAGAAAUAACCUUUCAAGUUUCUACAUCAAUUAUGUGGAUUUCAACAAUUAACAAAUUUAAUUAAUUAUUAAACCUUUAAAUUAUAUUUAUUUUAAAAGUUUUUAAUGAAACGUUUUCUUUAUGUAUUAUUAUAAUUAACGGUAUGAGAGAGCAGAGAUUACACUCCCUAUCGUAAAAAUGAAUUUAGAUUUGGUUUUCUAAAAAUGGCAUGAAUUGAUAUACUAAAUAUAAAUUAGUUAAAAAUUAGUAAGAUUUAUAAAUUUAAAAAAAAAAACUAUUUCAGCAGACGUCACUCACUUGUCAUGUAAAGAAGAGGAAUAGCUAAGAAAGAGACGAAAAAACAAACCUUGAAAUCAUUGUUGAUCAGCAUCCCAACGGUGCCAAAGGCAGUAGCAACCAAACACAUCACCAACUGGGCGUAGCUGAUCUCUUGCUUUGCCUUCUUGUACGUUAGUUCCACCAAUGGCAAUAUAAAUCCGUACAAAGCCGAUGCAGCUAAGGUCAUUACGAACCCCGUAAUAUAUUCCCUGUUGGGCUCAUUCGCAGGCCGGUCGCUGCUCGAAUGCAAAGCCAAAACGCCAGCCCCUAUGGUCAACAAAAACACGGCGUUUAUGGAGUAGGCAGUGAACUUUUGUUUCACCAACAGGAAAUCAAACCCUGCCGUGAAAGCCAACUGCGACGCGAUGAUCAAAGAAGAAGUUGAAAUGGGGAGACGAGAUAAGCCAUAGGAGUAGAAGUAGUUAUCGAUGCCAGUGAUGAUCCCGAGGACGAUAGCGGCGAGGAACAACGGUCGUUCCAUGUAGAAAAGCUUGUUUUCCGAGGUGGGAUCGGCCGUCCUGGAACGAUGCAUGUAAGCACAAGCGAUGGGGCAACCCGCGGUUUCGAGCCAGCUCGAGAACCAGAUUCGGUUGCCACCAUGGAUGAAGUAGAGGCGCAUGAUAAGUGGACCACCGCAGUUGCCUAUUGAAAGGAUGAUGCAGUUUAUUACUAGGAGAGCUUUUCUCAUGGUGGUGCCAUCACGUUUAGGUUCCUUCGCCUCCAUCUGUUCUGUAUUUGGAUAUUUUUGCAUCUCCUUCCUCCAUUUCCAAGCUAUUUGUAACAGAAUUUAUC